CACUCUUUACAGAGAUGGUAUCUUUUAACAAUCCCGGGACACGGUUCCUAAACGAAAACGACGACGCUACAAAGACUUUGUGGAGCAUUUCUGCCACAUGCUAUCCUUCAACCGACCAAUAUAUAAAUGUUCUUGGAGUUGAAGUACAGAUUGGUGUAAUAACGCAUACAGUAGGAUGUGAGACAUGUAAAAUUUCUAUUAACCCAGACAGUGGUCUUUUCUACAUGUCAGGGAACACAGUGUACAAGAGAGCAUGCGCGGCAGUAAGCUGUGGAAGUUGUCCGUCAUGUUCGUCAUGUGCUGCUAGCACUGGGUGAAUGUCUGGUCCUGCUUAUUACAAUAUUGAUGUUCGGUGUUACACGACCUCUUAUGACAACGAUGACUCUGGAACAUCUACUCUUACCGUUAGUGUGUCAGAAGAAACACCGACAUUAGCAAUUAGCCUUCCAGGUGCUGUAAAUGCAGACAAUUCAAUGAGUGUUAGAACUGUUUUAGCUACUGCAUCUAAAUCAAGUGGUCCACCAAGUGUAGAGUUCACAAAAUCAACUGCAGUAGAUGAUUCAUACUUGCUAGGGACAACAAAUAUGUUUGAUCUAA